GACGAAGGCGCCGGCGCCGAUGAGGGCUGCGCUGACGUAGAUCUCC
rnacentral:sRNA from 1 species